rnacentral:rRNA from 1 species
ACGUAGGGCGCAAGCGUUGUCCGGAAUUAUUGGGCGUAAAGAGCUCGUAGGCGGCUUGUCACGUCGGGUGUGAAAGCCCGGGGCUUAACCCCGGGUCUGCAUUCGAUACGGGCAGGCUAGAGUGUGGUAGGGGAGAUCGGAAUUCCUGGUGUAGCGGUGAAAUGCGCAGAUAUCAGGAGGAACACCGGUGGCGAAGGCGGUUCACUGGUCCGGUACUGACGCUGAGGUGCGAAAGCGUGGGGAGCAAACAGGA